rnacentral:rRNA from 1 species
GGUAGUCUCGCACAGAUGCAUAUCAAUAAGCGGAGGAAAAGAAACUAACAAGGAUUCCCUUAGUAACGGCGAGUGAAGCGGGAAGAGCUCAAAUUUGAAAUCUUCAAGGUUUUACCUUGACGAAUUGUAGUUUAAAGAAGUGUUUUCUGUUGAAGUUUUGGUAAAAGUUCUUUGGAAUAGGACAUCAUAGAGGGUGAGAAUCCCGUAUUUGACCAUUAUUUUCAGCUGUGUGAUACACUUUCAAAGAGUCGGAUUGUUUGGGAAUGCAGUCCAAAAUGGGUGGUAAAUUUCAUCUAAAGCUAAAUAUUGGCGAGAGACCGAUAGCGAACAAGUACCGUGAGGGAAAGAUGAAAAGAACUUUGAAAAGAGAGUUAAACAGUACGUGAAAUUGUCAAAAGGGAAGCGUUUGACACCAGUGUUGUUUUCUCGAAAAUCAAUUAAAAAGAGUUUGAUUUUGUUGUGUAUUGACCUUAACAGCUUGCAUUUCAAUUUUCCUGCUUUUUUUAAUGCACUUUUCGUUUAACAAGUCAACAUCAGUUUCUUUUGUUGUAAAAAGGUCAUUGGAAGGUGGCUUUCUUUUCGGAGAAAGUGUUUAUAGCCUUUGACUCCUGCAAUCGGAGAGACUGAGGUCUGCAGCGUAGAUCCUUCGGGGUUAGAUACAUUUGUGCUAAGUUAUAGCUUUUUAUAGACAACUUGUUGACUAUGAUUAGUCUUGUAGCCUACUCGCUUAUGCUAUUUUACCUACGCUUAGGAUGUUGAGCGCAUGUCUCUCUCU